rnacentral:rRNA from 1 species
UACAGCCAUAUCAGGUUGAAACACAGGUUCUCAUCUGAUCACUGAAGUUAAGCAAUGUUGAACCUGGUCAGUACCUAGAUGGGUGACCACUUGGGAAUACCAGGUGCUGUAA